GAUGCGCUCGUGUACCGUCGCCUUGGUCGUCGCUAACCGUUGCCGCCGUGCCGCCGUGCCGCCGUGCCACCGCGAGGAAACGAGACGAGCGGUUAGAAAAGAAAGGAGGGACCGGGACAGGAUGAGAAAGGCGAGGAGAAGAGUUCUCCGAGAGUUCAUCGCUUAUUAUGUAAGCAACGUAAGUAACGUAAGCGAUCCAGGAGGGAGUGGAAGGUGCGGUAGGAGCGCGAACUCCGCGAAACGCUUAUCGGCUUGACAUUUUCUUCGUAAAUACUAAUAGGACGACGCCAUUUUUCUAGCUACGGUAAUUUCAUUUUCUUACCUGCUCUUUGCUUCUAGCUGCAAACGUAAGUGCACGGGGAUCGCUUGGAUACACGGACACACGGACACACGGAUACACGGAUCUACGCCGCGGUCUGCAUCCGUGUUCUGUUUCCUCGUACGGAGCGCAUCUUCUUUUCUGACUCGACGAAGAAAUAGGAGAAGAGGAAAAAAGGAGCGUGGCUUGGCGGUGGAAGGAUCGUUUUUCGUUUCUUCUGGACAAAGUCGACCACCGUAGGUACGGUUCCUCCUUUUCGUGAGAAACUUUUCGGCCAUGUCGCAAGCAGGGGGAUGAUGAUCGCGCGCGCGUAACCGGUAUAUCGACGUAGGUGCUCGAUCCCGCCACGUUUCGUUCUCGUGCCUCCUUUUUUUUUGUAUUUCCAGUCGUUCCCUCUUCUUCGUUCUGCGCGCGUUCACGACUUCUUUUCCCCGCACGCUUUUUCUUUCUUUCUUUCUUUCUUUCUUUCUUCCUUUCUUUCUUUCUUUUUUUUUCUUUCUUCCCUCGGCGUCUCUCGUCCAUCCGGCUACAGACGACCAGGUAGCCCGUCUUUUGCGGUCCUGAUUUCCUCAACUUCUCCGCGACCGGGCGGAUACCUUCGAAAAGCACGUAUCUUACCCUCGCAUGGCCAUUGUUCGGACGAAAGCCGUCAUUGUGCGAGCAAAUCAAAGGGAGUUGGAGUGCGUUUUCCUUGCAUCCCGUUACAUGACCGAGUGAGCUCUUCGCAUCCCGAGACGAAGACUCGGUCAAUACGAUUCGUAUACGCGAGAAAGACAGCCAACGAGAACAAGGCGAGGGGGCGAAAAGGCAAAGAAGAACCUCGAAAAGAAUCUGUGUAGGUCGUGGGAGGAGUCGUGGGAAAAUCGUUGCCAGUCUCGUAAGACGUUUUCGAAACCGCUUAGCGCGGCUUAUCGUUUCACGCGUAACGAUGUUUGCCUCGAACCUCCGUCUUCCUUCCUCCUUCCUUCCUUCUCUGUCGUUAUCGUUGUUUAUCGUUGGGAAACGCGGAUGCCGUGGAUACUAACGAUGUGACGACGAUCUCGUAGUUGGAGGUAAACGCGUUGCAAUCCGUUAAGAUCAAAGGGGAAAAGCCACGACGACGCGUGAAAAUCAGUUGGACGAAGUUUCUCGCGAGCUUGGCGAACCGGCUGUCACGGACCGCAGCCCUCUGGGUGUCACUGGCUGCCGUCCGGAAUAACCGAAGCUCUCCGGACGAUCGUCGCAUCGGAACCGUCUCGCGAAACCGUUGGA